rnacentral:rRNA from 1 species
AACGAACGCUGGCGGCAUGCCUAACACAUGCAAGUCGAACGAGACCUUCGGGUCUAGUGGCGCACGGGUGCGUAACGCGUGGGAACCUGCCCUUAGGUUCGGAAUAACUCCCCGAAAGGGGUGCUAAUACCGGAUAAUGUCUUCGGACCAAAGAUUUAUCGCCUUUGGAUGGGCCCGCGUUGGAUUAGCUAGUUGGUAGGGUAAAAGCCUACCAAGGCGACGAUCCAUAGCUGGUCUGAGAGGAUGAUCAGCCACACUGGGACUGAGACACGGCCCAGACUCCUACGGGAGGCAGCAGUGGGGAAUAUUGGACAAUGGGCGAAAGCCUGAUCCAGCAAUGCCGCGUGAGUGAUGAAGGCCUUAGGGUUGUAAAGCUCUUUUACCCGGGAUGAUAAUGACAGUACCGGGAGAAUAAGCUCCGGCUAACUCCGCG